GAGCAUGGUAAUGGAUUUAUGGUGGGUC
rnacentral:piRNA from 2 species